GGUUAAGCGACUAAGCGUACACGGUGGAUGCCCUGGCAGUCAGAGGCGAUGAAGGACGUGCUAAUCUGCGAAAAGCGUCGGUAAGGUGAUAUGAACCGUUAUAGCCGGCGAUGUCCGAAUGGGGAAACCCAGUGCAAUUCGUUGCACUAUCGUUAACUGAAUACAUAGGUUAACGAGGCGAACCGGGGGAACUGAAACAUCUAAGUACCCCGAGGAAAAGAAAUCAACCGAGAUUCCCCCAGUAGCGGCGAGCGAACGGGGAGCAGCCCAGAGUCUGAAUCAGCUUGUGUGUUAGUGGAACGGUCUGGAAAGUCCGACGGUACAGGGUGAUAGUCCCGUACACCAAAAUGCACAGGCUGUGAACUCGAAGAGUAGGGCGGGACACGUGGUAUCCUGUCUGAAUAUGGGGGGACCAUCCUCCAAGGCUAAAUACUCCUGACUGACCGAUAGUGAACCAGUACCGUGAGGGAAAGGCGAAAAGAACCCCGGCGAGGGGAGUGAAAAAGAACCUGAAACCGUGUACGUACAAGCAGUGGGAGCACCUUCGGGUGUGACUGCGUACCUUUUGUAUAAUGGGUCAGCGACUUAUAUUCUGUAGCAAGGUUAACCGUAUAGGGGAGCCGCAGGGAAACCGAGUCUUAACUGGGCGUUAAGUUGCAGGGUAUAGACCCGAAACCCGGUGAUCUAGCCAUGGGCAGGUUGAAGGUUGGGUAACACUAACUGGAGGACCGAACCGACUAAUGUUGAAAAAUUAGCGGAUGACUUGUGGCUGGGGGUGAAAGGCCAAUCAAACCGGGAGAUAGCUGGUUCUCCCCGAAAGCUAUUUAGGUAGCGCCUCGUGAACUCAUCUUCGGGGGUAGAGCACUGUUUCGGCUAGGGGGUCAUCCCGACUUACCAACCCGAUGCAAACUACGAAUACCGAAGAAUGUUAUCACGGGAGACACACGGCGGGUGCUAACGUCCGUCGUGAAGAGGGAAACAACCCAGACCGCCAGCUAAGGUCCCAAAGUCAUGGUUAAGUGGGAAACGAUGUGGGAAGGCACAGACAGCCAGGAUGUUGGCUUAGAAGCAGCCAUCAUUUAAAGAAAGCGUAAUAGCUCACUGGUCGAGUCGGCCUGCGCGGAAGAUGUAACGGGGCUAAACCAUGCACCGAAGCUGCGGCAGCGACACUAUGUGUUGUUGGGUAGGGGAGCGUUCUGUAAGCCUGCGAAGGUGUGCUGUGAGGCAUGCUGGAGGUAUCAGAAGUGCGAAUGCUGACAUAAGUAACGAUAAAGCGGGUGAAAAGCCCGCUCGCCGGAAGACCAAGGGUUCCUGUCCAACGUUAAUCGGGGCAGGGUGAGUCGACCCCUAAGGCGAGGCCGAAAGGCGUAGUCGAUGGGAAACAGGUUAAUAUUCCUGUACUUGGUGUUACUGCGAAGGGGGGACGGAGAAGGCUAUGUUAGCCGGGCGACGGUUGUCCCGGUUUAAGCAUGUAGGCUGAUUGUCCAGGCAAAUCCGGAUAAUCAAGGCUGAGGUGUGAUGACGAGGCACUACGGUGCUGAAGUAACAAAUGCCCUGCUUCCAGGAAAAGCCUCUAAGCAUCAGGUAACAUCAAAUCGUACCCCAAACCGACACAGGUGGUCAGGUAGAGAAUACCAAGGCGCUUGAGAGAACUCGGGUGAAGGAACUAGGCAAAAUGGUGCCGUAACUUCGGGAGAAGGCACGCUGGUGUGUAGGUGAAGCCCCUGCGGGUGGAGCUGAGACCAGUCGAAGAUACCAGCUGGCUGCAACUGUUUAUUAAAAACACAGCACUGUGCAAACACGAAAGUGGACGUAUACGGUGUGACGCCUGCCCGGUGCCGGAAGGUUAAUUGAUGGGGUUAUCCGUAAGGAGAAGCUCUUGAUCGAAGCCCCGGUAAACGGCGGCCGUAACUAUAACGGUCCUAAGGUAGCGAAAUUCCUUGUCGGGUAAGUUCCGACCUGCACGAAUGGCGUAAUGAUGGCCAGGCUGUCUCCACCCGAGACUCAGUGAAAUUGAACUCGCUGUGAAGAUGCAGUGUACCCGCGGCAAGACGGAAAGACCCCGUGAACCUUUACUAUAGCUUGACACUGAACAUUGAGCCUUGAUGUGUAGGAUAGGUGGGAGGCUUUGAAGCGUGGACGCCAGUCUGCGUGGAGCCAACCUUGAAAUACCACCCUUUAAUGUUUGAUGUUCUAACGUUGGCCCCUUACCGGGGUUGCGGACAGUGUCUGGUGGGUAGUUUGACUGGGGCGGUCUCCUCCCAAAGCGUAACGGAGGAGCACGAAGGUUAGCUAAUCCUGGUCGGACAUCAGGAGGUUAGUGCAAUGGCAUAAGCUAGCUUGACUGCGAGCGUGACGGCGCGAGCAGGUGCGAAAGCAGGUCAUAGUGAUCCGGUGGUUCUGAAUGGAAGGGCCAUCGCUCAACGGAUAAAAGGUACUCCGGGGAUAACAGGCUGAUACCGCCCAAGAGUUCAUAUCGACGGCGGUGUUUGGCACCUCGAUGUCGGCUCAUCACAUCCUGGGGCUGAAGUAGGUCCCAAGGGUAUGGCUGUUCGCCAUUUAAAGUGGUACGCGAGCUGGGUUUAGAACGUCGUGAGACAGUUCGGUCCCUAUCUGCCGUGGGCGCUGGAGAAUUGAGGGGGGCUGCUCCUAGUACGAGAGGACCGGAGUGGACGCAUCACUGGUGUUCGGGUUGUCAUGCCAAUGGCACUGCCCGGUAGCUAAAUGCGGAAGAGAUAAGUGCUGAAAGCAUCUAAGCACGAAACUUGCCCCGAGAUGAGUUCUCCCUGAGACUUUAAGUCUCCUGAAGGAACGUUGAAGACGACGACGUUGAUAGGCCGGGUGUGUAAGCGCAGCGAUGCGUUGAGCUAACCGGUACUAAUGAACCGUGAGGCUUAACCUU
rnacentral:rRNA from 1 species